rnacentral:rRNA from 1 species
GAUGAACGCUGGCGGCGUGCUUAACACAUGCAAGUCGAACGGUGAACGAGGGAGCUUGCUCCCUCCGGAUCAGUGGCGAACGGGUGAGUAACACGUGAGCAAUCUGCCCUGGACUCUGGGAUAAGCGUUGGAAACGACGUCUAAUACCGGAUACGAGGCGUGGGGGCAUCCCCAACGCCUGGAAAGAACUUCGGUCCAGGAUGAGCUCGCGGCCUAUCAGCUAGUUGGUGAGGUAACGGCUCCCAAGGCGACGACGGGUAGCCGGCCUGAGAGGGUGACCGGCCACACUGGGACUGAGACACGGCCCAGACUCCUACGGGAGGCAGCAGUGGGGAAUAUUGCACAAUGGGCGCAAGCCUGAUGCAGCAACGCCGCGUGAGGGACAACGGCCUUCGGGUUGUAAACCUCUUUUAGCAGGGAAGAAGCGAAAGUGACGGUACCUGCAGAAAAAGCACCGGCUAACUACGUGCCAGCCGCCGCCGUAAAAC